GAAAAGUACCCCGGAAGGGGAGUGAAAGAGAACUUGAAACCGUGUGCUUACAAGUAGUCAGAGCCCGUUUAUGGGUGAUGGCGUGCCUUUUGUAGAAUGAACCGGCGAGUUACGAUCUGAUGCAAGGUUAAGCAGCGAAUGUGGAGCCGUAGCGAAAGCGAGUCUGAAUAGGGCGUUGAGUAUUUGGUCGUAGACCCGAAACCAGGUGAUCUACCCUUGGUCAGGUUGAAGUUCAGGUAACACUGAAUGGAGGACCGAACCGACUUACGUUGAAAAGUGAGCGGAUGAACUGAGGGUAGCGGAGAAAUUCCAAUCGAACUUGGAGAUAGCUGGUUCUCUCCGAAAUAGCUUUAGGGCUAGCCUCAAGUGAUGAUUAUUGGAGGUAGAGCACUGUUUGGACGAGGGGCCCCUCUCGGGUUACCGAAUUCAGACAAACUCCGAAUGCCAAUCAAUUUAACUUGGGAGUCAGAACAUGGGUGAUAAGGUCCGUGUUCGAAAGGGAAACAGCCCAGACCACCAGCUAAGGUCCCAAAAUAUAUGUUAAGUGGAAAAGGAUGUGGCGUUGCCCAGACAACUAGGAUGUUGGCUUAGAAGCAGCCAUCAUUUAAAGAGUGCGUAAUAGCUCACUAGUCGAGUGACACUGCGCCGAAAAUGUACCGGGGCUAAACAUAUUACCGAAGCUGUGGAUUGUCCUUCGGACAAUGGUAGGAGAGCGUUCUAAGGGCGUUGAAGCAUGAUCGCAAGGACAUGUGGAGCGCUUAGAAGUGAGAAUGCCGGUGUGAGUAGCGAAAGACGGGUGAGAAUCCCGUCCACCGAUUGACUAAGGUUUCCAGAGGAAGGCUCGUCCGCUCUGGGUUAGUCGGGUCCUAAGCUGAGGCCGACAGGCGUAGGCGAUGGAUAACAGGUUGAUAUUCCUGUACCACCUAGUAUCGUUUUAAUCGAUGGGGGGACGCAGUAGGAUAGGCGAAGCGUGCUGUUGGAGUGCACGUCCA
rnacentral:rRNA from 1 species